rnacentral:lncRNA from 1 species
CUUCUCCAAAGCUUUUUGCAUCUUAAGAAAGAUAAUUCCUAGGAAAGGGUGCCUCACCUGGGUCAUAGCCAGUGGAAAAAGGAAAGCUUAUGAUAUCUCUUGGUCUGGUAUUAAGAGGCCAGGCUGGAAAAGGAAGGCACCAUUUCCAUCAUAUUCUUCUGGAGAGAACUUAGUCUCAUCUUCUUCACAGAAGAUGGGGAAAGGUGGCCCAGCUGGUCAGCCCUGUGCCUGGCUGCAUUUCUGUUACUAUGGAAGGAGGGAAAAAGGAAAGCCAGCAGU